GGAAUCUUCAAUCUGAAACCCUCACUGGAAUGACUAAUCCUCAUAUGAACAGAAACAUCAUUUGUAUCUGUAACAACAGCUUUGAGGAUAGAAGACCAAAGGGCCAGGAGACCAAUCAACAUUAAAUGAAUUCUUCAGGUAAUUUGGAUGUGACUAGACUGUGUGCUUUAGUAAUAUCAUUUAACUAAUUUGGGGCUCAAGUUCCU
rnacentral:lncRNA from 1 species